CAGGUGUGUAUAAGAGACAGGUGAGUCAUCGAAUCUUUGAACGCACAUUGCGCCCCGUGGUAUUCCGCGGGGCAUGCCUGUUCGAGCGUCAUUUCAACCCAUCAAGCUUCGGCUUGGUCUUGGGGCCUGCGGUUUCGCAGCCUCUAAACCCAGUGGCGGUGCUAUUGAGCUCUGAGCGUAGUAAUUUCUCUCGCUAUAGAGUCUCGGUGGUGACUUGCCAACAACCCCCAAUUUUUAUCAGGUUGACCUCGGAUCAGGUAGGGAUACCCGCUGAACUUAAGCAUAUCAAUAAGCGGAGGA
rnacentral:misc_RNA from 1 species